GCGAAACCUUUACACUGCGGGAAACCGCGUAAGGGGGACACCGAGUGCCAGCAUACAAUGUGGGCUGUCCACAUGUGUAAAUAGCAUGUGAUAGCAAGGGCCGGGCAAGACCGGUGCCAGCCGCCGCGGUAACACCGGCGGCCCGAGUGGUAAUCACUAUUAUUGGGUCUAAAGGGUCCGUAGCCGGUUUAAUCAGUCUUCCGGGAAAUCUGACAGCUCAACUGUUAGGCUCCCGGGGGAUACUGUUAGACUUGGGACCGGGAGAGGUAAGAGGUACUACAGGGGUAGGAGUGAAAUCUUGUAAUCCCUGUGGGACCACCAGUGGCGAAGGCGUCUUACCAGAACGGGUCCGACGGUGAGGGACGAAAGCUGGGGGCACGAACCGGAUUAGAUACCCGGGUAGUCCCAGCCGUAAACGAUGCUCGCUAGGUGUCUGGAAUGGUGCGACCGUUUCAGGUGCCGCAGGGAAGCCGUGAAGCGAGCCACCUGGGAAGUACGGCCGCAAGGCUGAAACUUAAAGGAAUUGGCGGGGGAGCACUACAACGGGUGGAGCCUGCGGUUUAAUUGG
rnacentral:rRNA from 1 species